rnacentral:rRNA from 1 species
UACGUAGGGUGCGAGCGUUAAUCGGAAUUACUGGGCGUAAAGCGUGCGCAGGCGGUUUUGUAAGACAGGUGUGAAAUCCCCGGGCUCAACCUGGGAAUUGCAUCUGUGACUGCAUAGCUAGAGUACGGUAGAGGGGGAUGGAAUUCCGCGUGUAGCAGUGAAAUGCGUAGAUAUGCGGAGGAACACCGAUGGCGAAGGCAAUCCCCUGGACCUGUACUGACGCUCAUGCACGAAAGCGUGGGGAGCAAACAGG